CAUUCAUGCAUCUUAAACCAACCAAACACCCCAAAACCCUCAUUCAUUCCCAACCCUACACGGCCGCCUCUCUCUCCCAAAUCUCUGUCUUUUUUCUCAUCCCAACUGACCCCGUCAGCCACAAAUCCUAGCACAAAUUUAUGCAAGGUCACAAAUUCAAACUCCAAAUCAUUCAAUUUUUUCCCUACAUCCGCGAAUCAUGCAGAUACUUCUGUUUUCAUCACUAAAAUUCAAAAGCCCUAAUUUGAACCCUAGACUUAAAUUGUGCUAUUGAGAACCGUUUGUUAUCCCACCGCUCUUUUAAUUCUAUGGCAUGCAUUACCAUGUAUUUGACUUCAAUAUCAUUAUUCUUUGUCCAGAGGUGAAACGCAGUGACGUAUGGACAUUGGGCUUUUUUUAUGGGUCUUCGCGUUCAACGACCAUCUCUUCAUGCCCAGCGUGAGUUCAACUACUGUUGGUCUUGAGUUUGGAUCCAUAAACGGUUGUUGGAUGUUCCCUACUUGGUUUGCUUCUCCAUAGAAGAUCUAGGUGCUCCCGGAUAUGAAGACUGUUAGAAUUCGAGGUUCUUUCCGUUGGAAACUAUCAAGGUAGCUGCUUGAAGACCGCAUACUUGAUUCCCUUCAUGUUUAAUUAUUGUACUGUUCUAUAUUUCAGACAGUGAUUUUUUCCAGUCAGACUUUGUAUUCAUUUAGAUGCUCAUGUACUCAGUGACACCGGGUUUAAGAGUGUUUAUAUAUGUAUUUGUGAAUUUUCUUCCGCUGAAUUUAAUCACUUUGAUUUAAACAUAAAAGAUAUGGGAGUUUAUUGA